UUUUCUCUGUGUGCUAAGGGCUGAUUAAUACAUGGCCAUUACACGUAACGUCACAAAGUAACGCAGGCCAGUUAUUACAAUGGAAGCCGCCAGUAACACUGAACUGUUUUACUGUGUUUCAGCACAAUAAAUCUUCAUGUGCACCUGAAUGAACCCUGUCGUCCUUCAGUGUGUAACACUAGGAACCACAAGUAAGCCUGCAGUCUGAGAGCGAUGUCCUCUGAUGGGAUUAUACGUGAAUCGAGGAUAAGCCAGUAGCCGUGGGACCUUUGUUGGUGGGCCGUUUUCUACACUUCUUUUGUCGUACAGCACCUUGAGUUUAUAGUUGGCUUUGUAUGUGUGAUUUUCUUCAGUCAUGGUCCUCAGCUACUGUUAUCCAUCCAUCCUCAUCCGCUUUAUCCGAAGUCGGGUCGCGGGGGCAGCAGCCUAAGCAGAGAAGCCCAGACCUCCCUCUCCCCAGCCACCUCCUCCAGCUCAUCCGGGGGAACACCAAGGCGUUCCCAGGCCAGCCGAGAGAUAUAAUCUCUCCAGCGCGUCCUGGGUCUGCCCCGGGGCCUCCUCCCGGUGGGACAUUCCAAAUGCAGUUAUUAAAGGCAGAUAUUAAACGCCUCCACUGAUGUCGUCUCCCAGCUGUCUGAUCUGCAGCAGGACUCCCACCUCCCUCAGCUUUGACUCCAGGCUUCUGUGCUCACAAAUGCACAACUUCAGCCCAAUGUUGACUCAGAAAUUACCAUUGUUGUUUGGUCAUAAAAUUGCAUCAGGGAUAGUAUUGUUUUCUUCACAGGCACAUGGACCACCCUCCAGUUAGUCCAGUUUUCUGUCAUUAUCCUGCAAAGACAACAAUUUUUACUGCCCACCUGUGUUGUGUAUCUCUAGUUUAUUCAGUGGGUGCCGGAUUAGAUGGGGGAUUUCAUUCAAUGCAGAAACCUCAGUGGAGAUGGAAAAUGCCACUAAACUGCAGAGGGAGUAAAUCAGGAAGACAGGGAUGAAAGGAGAGUAGAAAUAGAGAAAGGUAGCAUCUGUUUGGCAGGUGGACCGUGGUUUGUCUCCUGAGGAAGAAACAUGUGACAUGGAUAAUAACUAACUGGAACAACCACCCAAUGUUUUCAUACAAGAUGCAGUGAUAAGUUUAAACAUCACCAGCGAAGAGCAGAAU
ensembl:lncRNA